CAAGUCGAGCGAUGAAGCACCUUCGGGUGUGAAUUAGCGGCGAACGGGUGAGGAACACGUGAGAAAUCUGCCUUCAACACUGGGAUAACUCCGGGAAACCGGGGCUAAUACCGGAUAUGAAACCUGCGGGCAUCCGCGGGUUUGGAAAGUUUUUCGGUUGAAGAUGAUCUCGCGGCCUAUCAGCUUGUUGGUGAGGUAAUGGCUCACCAAGGCGACGACGGGUAGCCGGCCUGAGAGGGCGACCGGCCACACUGGGACUGAGACACGGCCCAGACUCCUACGGGAGGCAGCAGUGGGGAAUAUUGGGCAAUGGAGGAAACUCUGACCCAGCGACGCCGCGUGCGGGAUGAAGGCCUUCGGGUUGUAAACCGCUUUCAGCAGGGAAGAAGCGAAAGUGACGGUACCUGCAGAAGAAGCACCGGCUAACUAUGUGCCAGCAGCCGCGGUAAUACAUAGGGUGCAAGCGUUGUCCGGAAUUAUUGGGCGUAAAGAGCUCGUAGGUGGUUCGUCACGUCGGAUGUGAAACUCUGGGGCUUAACCCCAGACCUGCAUUCGAUACGGGCGAGCUUGAGUAUGGUAGGGGAGUCUGGAAUUCCUGGUGUAGCGGUGGAAUGCGCAGAUAUCAGGAGGAACACCAAUGGCGAAGGCAGGACUCUGGGCCAUUACUGACACUGAGGAGCGAAAGCGUGGGGAGCGAACAGGAUUAGAUACCCUGGUAGUCCACGCCGUAAACGGUGGGCACUAGUUGUGGGGACCUUCCACGGUCUCUGCGACGCAGCUAACGCAUUAAGUGCCCCGCCUGGGGAGUACGAUCGCAAGAUUAAAACUCAAAGGAAUUGACGG
rnacentral:rRNA from 1 species